rnacentral:lncRNA from 1 species
UGGGGAGGAUUCAGUUGUCACUUCCUACGGUGAUAAAACAGAUUGCAUUGCAAUUGUGUUGCUGCCGGACAAAAGAAAAUCUUUUCUCUGUUCUUAUGGCUGGUCGUCCUGAUGAUGCAUAGAUUUGGUGAUUGUUCAGAGUAUUCCAAGAUCGAAAUUGGGGACAUUGACAACAGAAGCGACAGGAGAACAGGUAAGCUCCUAUUCAGAGUAUACUUAUAUAUAUUGGUCUUUUUAAUGCUUAUGUGUGAUUUAGUUUCUGAGUACUGGUGUAGUACAGAUUUAGGUUCAAGCUCCUUUUUUUUCAGAUUUUUUUUAGGGCCAAACAAAUGCAUGUUGCGUAGCUGCAGACCAGGAGUUGGUACUUUAACCUGAACACAUGGGAUUACUUGAUUUUUACCAAUGUAGUAUAAGAAUCUAAACUUCUGACAAAGGAGAGAGAAACAAGUAG